rnacentral:rRNA from 1 species
UACGUAGGGUGCGAGCGUUAAUCGGAAUUACUGGGCGUAAGGCGUGCGCAGGCGGUUCGUUAAGUCAGAUGUGAAAGCCCCGGGCUCAACCUGGGAACUGCAUUUGAAACUGGCGGGCUUGAGUAUGGCAGAGGGGGGUGGAAUUCCGCGUGUAGCAGUGAAAUGCGUAGAGAUGCGGAGGAACACCGAUGGCGAAGGCAGCCCCCUGGGCCAAUACUGACGCUCAGGCACGAAAGCGUGGGGAGCAAACAGG